rnacentral:sRNA from 1 species
UUUGUUUAAAGAAUCCUAAUUUCAUCUUUUUUGGAAAAAUAAAAAUAAAAAAAAUCCGUACUUCAUAUGAUUUAGGAAAAAAAAGUAAUCAGUGUGAAGUAGUAGAAGAAAAUCCUUGCUUCAUAUGACUAGAGAUCCGUUGAUUAUUCGGAAUACCGGAAAACUAGAGUCUCUCAGAUCUGUUGAUUUCUCAAUACAAGAAACGAAAAAACGUGAAGAAUUCGUUGAUUCUCUGCGAAUACCGAAUCCUACGUCUUCUUAUAAUCGUUGAAAUCUUUCAAGAUCUACCGAAAAGAGAAGAGUAUUCUAAAAACUCUUUAAU